rnacentral:rRNA from 1 species
AACGAACGCUGGCGGCAUGCCUAACACAUGCAAGUCGAACGAGACCUUCGGGUCUAGUGGCGCACGGGUGCGUAACGCGUGGGAAUCUACCCUUGGGUUCGGAAUAACAGUUAGAAAUGACUGCUAAUACCGGAUGAUGACGUAAGUCCAAAGAUUUAUCGCCCAAGGAUGAGCCCGCGUAAGAUUAGCUUGUUGGUGGGGUAAUGGCCUACCAAGGCGACGAUCUUUAGCUGGUCUGAGAGGAUGAUCAGCCACACUGGGACUGAGACACGGCCCAGACUCCUACGGGAGGCAGCAGUGGGGAAUAUUGGACAAUGGGCGAAAGCCUGAUCCAGCAAUGCCGCGUGAGUGAUGAAGGCCUUAGGGUUGUAAAGCUCUUUACCAGGGAUGAUAAUGACAGUACCUGGAGAAUAAGCUCCGGCUAACUCCGUGCCAGCCGCCGGCCGUAA